UACGGAGGGUGCAAGCGUUAUCCGGAUUCACUGGGUUUAAAGGGUGCGUAGGCGGAUAGAUAAGUCAGUGGUGAAAUCUCCGAGCUUAACUCGGAAACUGCCGUUGAUACUAUUUGUCUUGAAUAUUGUGGAGGUAAGCGGAAUAUGUCAUGUAGCGGUGAAAUGCUUAGAUAUGACAUAGAACACCAAUUGCGAAGGCAGCUUACUACACAAUCAUUGACGCUGAGGCACGAAAGCGUGGGGAUCAAACAGG
rnacentral:rRNA from 1 species